GGUUGACCUCGGAUCAGGUAGGAAGACCCGCUGAACUUAAGCAUAUCAAUAAGCGGAGGAAAAGAAACCAACAGGGAUUGCCCUAGUAACGGCGAGUGAAGCGGCAACAGCUCAAAUUUGAAAUCUGGCUUCGGCCCGAGUUGUAAUUUGUAGAGGAUGCUUUGGGCGCGGCUCUAACUGAGUUCCCUGGAACGGGACGCCACAGAGGGUGAGAGCCCCGUAUAGUUAGAUGCCUAGCCUAUGUAAAGCUCCUUCGACGAGUCGAGUAGUUUGGGAAUGCUGCUCUAAAUGGGAGGUAAAUUUCUUCUAAAGCUAAAUAUUGGCCAGAGACCGAUAGCGCACAAGUAGAGUGAUCGAAAGAUGAAAAGCACUUUGAAAAGAGGGUUAAAUAGCACGUGAAAUUGUUGAAAGGGAAGCGCUUGUGACCAGACUUGCGCCGGGCAGAUCAUCCGGUGUUCUCACCGGUGCACUCUGCCCGGCUCAGGCCAGCAUCGGUUCUCGUGGGGGGAUAAAGGUCCCGGGAACGUAGCUCCUCCGGGAGUGUUAUAGCCCGGGGCGUAAUGCCCUCGUGGGGACCGAGGUUCGCGCAUCUGCAAGGAUGCUGGCGUAAUGGUCAUCAGCGACCCGUCUUGAAACACGGACCAAGGAGUCAAGGUUUUGCGCGAGUGUUUGGGUGUAAAACCCGCACGCGUAAUGAAAGUGAACGUAGGUGAGAGCUUCGGCGCAUCAUCGACCGAUCCUGAUGUAUUCGGAUGGAUUUGAGUAAGAGCGUUAAGCCUUGGACCCGAAAGAUGGUGAACUAUGCUUGGAUAGGGUGAAGCCAGAGGAAACUCUGGUGGAGGCUCGCAGCGGUUCUGACGUGCAAAUCGAUCGUCAAAUCUGAGCAUGGGGGCGAAAGACUAAUCGAC
rnacentral:rRNA from 1 species